rnacentral:lncRNA from 1 species
UCUUGGGGUCCCUCCGUCAGUCACAUGAGGAUAUCUCACGGCUUUAUUCAGACCGCUCGGACUGUGGCUGGCCAGGGCCGCUGUGCAUGGGGCUAUGGCUGACACGGCCCCGCCGCCCGCUCCUGUGCCAGCGGCCUCCUGCCUCCUUUUCUGGCGCAUUCUGCAGAAGGAUGAGGUAGAGGAGGUGUUCAAACGGAGGGGUGGAGGGAGGCUGUGACAGGCGGCUGAGCGGGGGCCACAUGAGAGGAAGAGCCAAUUAUCCUGCAGUGAACACUGCAGUCAGGUUAGCUGAACGUGGGUGUUCCCAGCGCCAGCCGGCAUCGGAUUCCAGCCCUCCCAGGGGACCGGAGCUCCUAGGGUGGGUAUGGAAGUGCUUGGCUCCCUCCUCUCCCUUCAUAGCUGUGAAAGAAACCUCUCAGCUUCUGUCACAUCUGACUGCCUCACGCUUCCCCAAAACAGCCGCGCUCUGACGAGGGAGACAGGCGUUCCGACAGCAGAGCAGCGCUAGCUACCAACCUCACCAGAAAACACAAGCUGAGGACAGAACCCCUGGCUAAAUAUAGAGCCCAGCUGGGAGAGAAAACAAUGUGGCAUUGCAGAUCCAUCAAAAUUAAGAAUGAAAACGUGAAGGUGCUGCUCACUGCCGACCCCCGGCUGCUCCCAGCGAGCGCCGCGUGCCCAGAGGUGCAGCCCGCCACCAGGAUCCAGCAUGGAAUGGCACAGGAGGGACAGCACUGCUUUUAUUAGCACUUGGCCAUCAGUCAGCAGUCCACACUCCACAAAUAAAUGAACGGGCUGGGUGCA